rnacentral:tRNA from 1 species
GCGAGGGUGGCGGAAUUGGCAGACGCGCUGGAUUUAGGUUCCAGUGUCCAACGGACGUGCAGGUUCGAGUCCUGUCCCUCGCA